AACGUAGGAGACAAACGUUAUCCGGAGUUACUGGGCGUAAAGGGCGUGUAGGCGGUUUGUUAAGUCUGGCGUGAAAGCUCUCGGCUAAACCGGGAGAGGUCGUUGGAUACUGGCAAACUAGAGGACGGUAGAGGCGUGUGGAAUUCCGGGUGUAGUGGUGAAAUGCGUAGAGAUCUGGAGGAACACCAGUGGCGAAGGCGACACGCUGGGCCGUACCUGACGCUAAAGCGCGACAGCAUGGGGAGCAAACGGG
rnacentral:rRNA from 1 species